UACGAAGGGGGCUAGCGUUGCUCGGAAUCACUGGGCGUAAAGGGGUGCGUAGGCGGGUCUUUUAAGUCAGGGGGUGAAAUCCUGGAGCUCAACUCCAGAACUGCCUUUGAUACUGAGGAUCUUGAGUUCGGGAGAGGUGAGUGGAACUGCGAGUGUAGAGGUGAAAUUCGUAGAUAUUCGCAAGAACACCCAGUGGCGAAGGCGGCUCACUGGCCCGUUACUGACGGCUGAGGCACGGAAAGCGUGGGGAGCAAACAGG
rnacentral:rRNA from 1 species